GGAACGUGGGGGAAAGGUUUUCCAUAUAGACAUUCCUGAAGGAGAUGUCAUGUUCCGGGGUGCUGGGAUUCCGCAGAGCAGGAGUCUCUGGCCAUUUGUAAUCGGGUCGUGAAAGAGUAGAUUCUGGAAAACCAAGACACUGCUUCAAACCAUCAGGUUAGAGUCAUUGAUAAAAGUUUAGCACCUCCGUUCUAAUCGGAAUUAGCGCGCCUGAGAAAACCAGCAUGUAAUUUGGCAAGAUCUGAGGCAAUUACUUAAAAAGAGGAGCAGAUGUAAUUGAGCAUGCGACCCUGUCAUCCUGUCACCGGCAGAGCAGGGCUUCUCUUCUUAAUUUUCUUUACACAAAACUCAUGAAAUGUGGCCGAUUGGUAGGGCUGCAGCAUUCAGUUUGCUUGAUUUCCUUUUUGGUCAUUUCUCAACAUGGACAGCAAACAACCUCAACCACCUCGGAAAAGUUUGACCGUUACUUCGAGGUAAAAAGUCUUUUCACCCGGUUAGUUUGCUAAGUUUGACAGGAAUGACCAGUCAGCCUCCAAGUUAGUGAACUCUGAAUUUAAACAAGCUGGAGCUAGCUCAUCUGCCUUUACCAGCGGAGUCAAACACUUGCCCUGAAUUAAUAUAUGCAUUCUAUAUUUCCAAGAGAAUCAAAUGACAAGUUCUUAUAAAGUUUGCCUUGCGUUCGCUAAGGGAAAGAAAAGAAAAGAAAAGGAAAGGAAAGGAAAGGAAAGGAAAGAAGAGAAAAGAAAAGAAGAGAAAAAGAAAAGAAAAGAAAAGAAAAAAGAAAAGAAAAGAAAAGAAAAGAAAAGAAAAGAAAAGAAAAAGGCUUUUGUCGCGGAGACAGCCUGAAAACGCAUCCCAUAUGAGACCCAAUGCUUUCCUUGUCAGGUGGUUCACUGAACUCCAAUGUGAGGGUCAGUUUUGGUCAACUCUUUACCCCUGCAUAACCUGAGUCCUUAAACAAUUUAUACCUCCUUACAUGCGGUCCUGCACAGAAGGCUUUCCCAUUUUGUUUUCAACCUAUUCCAAUUCAAAUCCUUUCCUGAAGUAGUGUGAAAGGGACCCCCAGGCAAUGGUGAAGAUUGUUCUCCCCUUUCAAGGCAGCAGGCAUUUGCUAAGUUUCGGGGGAGCCACCUGUCUUAAUUGUAUUUCCUGCUCUUGCGUGGCUUUUGUUUGCAAUAAAAGAACUCAUCUCAGGUGAGUUAACCUCGCUUUUUAGAGAGGGCACCUGCA